AAACGCCGUAGCUUCUGCUCCUGUUUCGGAGCGGUAGCCACUCGGGAUGGACGUAGAAAACGGGAAGCCCCGGACUUCACCUCGGCGACGGGAAAGUUAGAAGCGGAGAGAGCAAAUAAACUUAACUCCGGACAGCGUGUAGCAACUUCUGUGUUACUCACAAGAAAGUACCCGGGGAAUGAGCUGGAUGAACAUGGAACUGCUGGGUGGUGGAUCUCUAAUUCAGAGACUGAGAAAAGGAGGAGGAAGUUCCUGCCUUUUCUUACAUGUUCACCUGUACCUGACCUAAGGCAAGAGAAAGAGAUAUUAAGAUUAGAAUCAACCACACUUCUCAGUACUACUUGGACUAGAUAUGAAUGCAGUGGAGGCAAAUCUGCUCCUGAGAGUUAAACAAGAUCUGAUUCUUUGAUUAGCAGCAAAGAUCUGGCUGUGAAUGCUGAACCCUGUCUAAACUGCCACUCUGUUCAUAUGAAGAAGCAGCUAAGCUACUUUCUUGUGGCUAAGUAAUAUUUGAGAUGGAGAGGUUGUGACUGAUGGCAUAUUAUUGGUGCAAAAGGGAGAAAUGUAUCGAUUCCAGUCAUCAAAAGAAUGUUAUGGAUGUGUGGCUAUGGAGAUAAAUAAUGGAAAAUGGAGAUACAAGGGAAAUGGAACUAUGGCAAAUAUUUCAUUCAUUUUUUUUAAAAAAAACUGAUCUGAUUGAAAAGUUUUGUUGAAGACAUGAGCAUCCAUGUGAGGAAUGCUAAAAAGUGCCUCCUGAUGUUGCAAGGUAAAAUCUGACCUUUUAAAUGUGCAUCACAAUAUGUAUGUGAAGUAUGUAAGUAUGUGAAAUAUGUGAACUGUGUAUAAUGCAGAGUUUGCAUUCUAACACAAUGCAUCUUAACUCAUUUUGAUGAAAUCUUAGUUUGCUUCAGACACUGCUAGUUGAACGCAGUAUGUUCUGAUGAAGAAUGAUUUUCUAAGGACCAACCUGAUUUUUAGGGAAAGAGGAGCAUUUGCUCUAUGACAAUCAAACUUAAAGUCAUCUCUUAGAUUAAUUAAAUAAAAUUAAGCUUUAGCAUAUUCAGUGGCAAUUACGUGAAGUGAUGGCCUUGGUUCAGAGGACAGAAGCGGAAUACAUUCUCAUUACUGACUGUCUAGGAAGCUUCCAGUAAAUUCAUUGAAUAUUUUUAAUACACAUAAAAGUUAAAAAUUUGCACUAGAUAUUGAAAUGCAGAAAUUGCUCUCAAGUAUUUCCAUUUUAAAAUUGGUUUCUGAAACAUCUGUCAACAAGGUUGCAACUUCUUAACUAUUGAGCCCUAGCAAACUAUGGUUUAUGAAUUAGCAUACUAUGUAAAUCUAGCCAACUGUAAUUUAUUCCAGUGGUGGGUUGCUACUGGUUCUCCCCGGAUCAGGCGAACCGGUAGCAGCGGUGGCUGGAGGUUCUGCCCACCCACCCAGAAGCGUCGCGCAUGCAAGCAAACCGGUAGUGACGGGUUUUGAAACCUGCCCCUGAUUUAUUCCAUAACUAUGAUUAAAAUAAUCAUUGUGUUGUGCACAUAAGGGCAAUCUAAGAACCUUAAUGAGCGCAGUAGGAGAUAAUAGCAUUACAGCCUCAAUUUUUACAUUUACACAGUAAUAUAUACUAGUCAUUUCUAUAACAAUAAAUCUAUUAGCAAAACCCAAAGUCAAAGUUUCAACUUUCCAUCUCAAUGGAAAAUAAAAUUGCACAUGAAUAAGAUUGCAUAAGUAAAUACUUCCUCAUUAAAAAAGUCUUUUUUAUUUAUUGGUUGGUUGGCUUUGGUAGUAAAUAUAGUUUACUUGUUUUUCAAAAUUCAUUUACCAAAGGCUGAGAAAAUAUUGUGGUUGUGAGUAAAGAAAAGAAAGCAGCACAGAAGGAAAUGUUUUCUUUCAUUUAUUCUUUUUAAUUUUGCCAUUUGGUUUUAAAGAUCUUCCUUUAGAUAAUUUGUCUUACGUAAGUUUUAUUAAAGAGUGGUUUAUAUACUUUAGAUUGCAACCAUAAUAAAAGCCUAAAAUUAUUUCUGCUGUAGACCAUUUUUGCCUGCCUCCGAGUAAGUCUCAACUCCUGAUGACAGCCUGGGAGUCUUGGUCAGAAUAUUUACAACUGCUGGCAGUGCCUUGUUAAUCUUGAUAAAAAUGAAAAAGCUAAGCAUCACUGCUCCGGGUUAGUUCUUGGAUUGGAGACAACCAUGAAAUAUCAGUCCUAUAGACUAAAUUGGAUAAUUGAAAUAAAAAAAAAUGCAGGUAGUCCUUGACUUACAACAGUUCAUUUAGUGACCAUUCAAAGUUACAACGACACUGAAAAAAUGACUUACGACAGUUUUUCAUACAACCUUUGUAGCAUCCCUAUUAUCAUGUGAUCAAAAUUCAAAUGCUUGGCGACUGACUCAUACUUAUGACCGUAUCCCAACGUUAUGUGAUCACCUUUGCCUCCUUUUGACAAGAAGCCAGAUUCACUUAACAACCGUGUUACGGACUUACCAACUGUGGUGAUUCACUUAACAACUGUGGCAAGAAAAGUUGUAAAAUGUGGAAAAACACACUUAAAUGUAUCACUUAACAACAUAAAUUUUGGGCUCAGUUGUGGUCAUAAGUCGAGGUCUACCUGUAAUGGCAUCCUGGAAGGCAAGUGACAAACAUUUUUUUAUUAUUGCUUAAGGAAAUUGCAUGGUGCCCAAGUAUAAUAUUUGUGUAGUCACUAGGAAAAGAACGUAAUUCAUUUGUUACCUUUUCCUUUACUGUAUUUAUGUUUUAGUUUUAAUGCUGUGCAGUCUCUUGCACAGCUUCUUUAGUUCUGACUAAAAGUUUUCCUUGUUUCACGGAUGUUAAUGUUUGUUUUAGUUGUUUGCAAGAUUCUUUGGGAACUAAUUUUAUUGCAAACUGGAGAAAGAAACACAAUUCAUUAGUGAACAGAUCAGAUGAUUAAUUAAACAAGUAAACAAAUUUGCCUUUUAUGUGCCAAAAUGGAAUUUUAUAACAUUGCCUCAAACAGAAGACAAUGUGUGUAUCUUUAUAUUUGGACAGCAGAGACAU